GCAGUCGAGCGACUGAUUAGAAGCUUGCUUCUAUGACGUUAGCGGCGGACGGGUGAGUAACACGUGGGCAACCUGCCUGUAAGACUGGGAUAACUCCGGGAAACCGGAGCUAAUACCGGAUAACAUUUUUUCUUGCAUAAGAGAAAAUUGAAAGAUGGUUUCGGCUAUCACUUACAGAUGGGCCCGCGGUGCAUUAGCUAGUUGGUGAGGUAACGGCUCACCAAGGCAACGAUGCAUAGCCGACCUGAGAGGGUGAUCGGCCACACUGGGACUGAGACACGGCCCAGACUCCUACGGGAGGCAGCAGUAGGGAAUCUUCCGCAAUGGACGAAAGUCUGACGGAGCAACGCCGCGUGAGUGAUGAAGGCUUUCGGGUCGUAAAACUCUGUUGUUAGGGAAGAACAAGUACAAGAGUAACUGCUUGUACCUUGACGGUACCUAACCAGAAAGCCACGGCUAACUACGUGCCAGCAGCCGCGGUAAUACGUAGGUGGCAAGCGUUAUCCGGAAUUAUUGGGCGUAAAGCGCGCGCAGGCGGUUUCUUAAGUCUGAUGUGAAAGCCCACGGCUCAACCGUGGAGGGUCAUUGGAAACUGGGGAACUUGAGUGCAGAAGAGAAAGCGGAAUUCCACGUGUAGCGGUGAAAUGCGUAGAGAUGUGGAGGACACCAGUGGCGAAGCGGCUUUUUGGUCUGUAACUGACGCUGAGCGCGAAAGCGUGGGGAGCAAACAGGAUUAAAUACGCUGGUAGUCCACGCCGUA
rnacentral:rRNA from 2 species